GAUAUUUUUUACAAUAAGAAGUCUUCUUUUCUAGAAAUCUUCUUUUCUAGAAAUCAUCUAAGCAUUUAUUUUUUUGCCCUGUCUAACAUCAAAAUAAAAGUAAUUUGGGAAAGUUAAUAAAGGGAAUGAAUAAACUUAUCAGAGAAGGAAAAUAAAAGCAAAUGCAUUCUAAAUGUUUGCUGUACACACAGAAUGAAGCCCAUGAUUGAUUCUUUGUUAAUUACAGGAAGUUAUGAUGGGAAGGCAGAUGCAUUACACAGUGAUCUGAGCAGAGGUGGACAGUAACGAAAUACAUGUACUUGAGUACUGUACUUAAGUACACUUUUUGAGUAUCUGUAAUUUACUUGAGAAUUAUUUUUUCUGGAAACUUGUGACUUUAACUUCACUACAUUUGAAAGACAAAUAUCGUACAUUUCACUCCUCUACAUUUCUAUCAAGGUCCUCGAGUAGAAAGUCGUUACUAUGUAGCAGCUUUGUAAAUCAGUGGAUGAUUUUUUUCUUCUCUAAAACGUGAUUGUUUUUUUGCAGGUGACAGACAGCCUAUCAGUAAUCACUCUUGUAGGGUCACGUAUCAUGAAGUUGAUUUCCCAGCAUUUUUUGAACACUUAUCAGUUGGCAAAAUGGAAGACGGCGGUUCCUCGGCGCAGUGCGUGCACCCAUGGCCAUACUUAGAAAAUAUGUUCCAGUUUUCUGAAAAUGUUAAAGAUUCGUUUUGUUUUAAAUGUAUGCUUUGUUUGCCUAAAACGAACCAUAUCACAGCCUUCAAAAACUCGUCGUCCAACCUGCGGAAGCAUAUUGAAGUAUGUAAACUUUUAAUUUCUUGUGAAAGCUUGAAAUUAUCUGUGCUUUAGAGCUAAAGUUUCAGUAUGAAGUAUGGUCGGUCAAAUUAUUUUUUAUGGAUUUGCCCACCAAGUUGCCAUAGCCUUGUGGAUACACCGCUAAUGCAUAGGUAAGGUUCGACAAUUACAUUAGUUAGCAUGCAAAAGCGUGAAUUUAAAUGUAAAUGAGCUUAAGAGUUAAAUAAGUUAAUAUCUUGUAACUUUUAUGUUUUUUUUUUUUUGUUUUUUUUUUGUGAUCUUGCUUAAUUACUAUAGUUAUGUGUUGAGCUGCACGAUUAAAUCAUAAAAAGAUAGCGAUCUCGAUUCAAACACCCACACGAUCUCUUUCCUAAAUGAUAACGAUUCGCCUGUCUCUUAAACCUUUGACAAAAAUCAUACCGGAACAUUCAAAUCUGCGUUGGUGCUGCCGCUGAGCCAGAGAGAGCAGUUAUCAUGUUCUGCCAGAGCUGUGUGAGAACACUACCAUGCUGCUUUUGUGGGGGUGGGUAGGAGUGUUAAAUAAAAAAAAUGAAGAUGAUUAUGGCUGUCUUUUUUGUCAUUUCAGUUGUUUCAUUUGUAUAGGUUUUGUAACAUUUUAAAAGCUCUUUAUUCCACAGAUACUACAAGCUAGUCAGUGUAUUCAGCAGGUUGCUUCAGAGGCAUAAGGUAUUUAAUAGAGUUGUGUACUUUGUCAACCUCUGGAUCUGAGAUGGAAGAGAAGCCUGCUUCAGAGACUGAGGGAACAGCAUAUAAUGGAGGAUCUAGGAAGGCCACACACAUGAGGUGGAUCUUACAGGCCAUAUCAUCAGUGGCGGUUCUAGCUUGUAUGGCGCCCUGGGUGAAACCCGCUUCAACACAGCAUGAGGAAUGAACUCCAGGACUCCACUUGGACUCUGAGCCAAAUUUUCAAAAGCAGACAGAUCCCUCUUCACCUCCAAAGACAGAUUUCACUUUGACAUUGUUUUUUUUUUUUUUCACACUUACAAUUUGCAUAUUUUCCACAAUGCUUCAUGCACUGAUGAACU